rnacentral:rRNA from 1 species
CCUACGGGUGGCUGCAGUGGGGAAUUUUGGACAAUGGGCGCAAGCCUGAUCCAGCAAUGCCGCGUGCAGGAUGAAGGCCUUCGGGUUGUAAACUGCUUUUGUACGGAACGAAACGGUCUGCUCUAAUACAGUGGGCUAAUGACGGUACCGUAAGAAUAAGCACCGGCUAACUACGUGCCAGCAGCCGCGGUAAUACGUAGGGUGCGCCCGUGCAUCGGAAUUACGCGGCGGAUUACGUGAGCCGGCGGUUAAAUCCCCGGGCUCAACCUGGGACCUGCAUUUGUGACUGUAUAGCUAGAGUACGGCAGAGGGGGAUGGAAUUCCGCGUGUAGCAGUGAAAUGCGUAGAUAUGCGGAGGAACACCGAUGGCGAAGGCAAUCCCCUGGGCCUGUACUGACGCUCAUGCACGAAAGCGUGGGGAGCAAACAGGAUUAGAUACCCCAGUAGUC